CUGGCCGAGGACGUGGUGGUGCUCCUCGAGCAAAUCUCACGCAAAUUGUGAAUGCUAACUCCGCUGCUAUUGGAUCUUCUGAGAUUACUGAGGCUGAUCGACAAGGAUUGUUGGGAAUGACUGAUGAACAAUGGAAGAUAGUGGAAAAAGUUAUCAAUGCUGGCAAAGGAUCCUCUCAACUAAGUGGACCGCAUCACGAGGACGCUGAUUGGGUCGGGUGAACGAGAGGGAGAGGGGUUGUACCGGUUUCGCGGGAUUGAGACAGUGGCGGCAUU